rnacentral:rRNA from 1 species
UACGAAGGGGGCUAGCGUUGCUCGGAAUCACUGGGCGUAAAGCGCACGUAGGCGGAUUGUUAAGUCAGGGGUGAAAUCCUGGAGCUCAACUCCAGAACUGCCUUUGAUACUGGCGAUCUCGAGUCCGGGAGAGGUGAGUGGAACUGCGAGUGUAGAGGUGAAAUUCGUAGAUAUUCGCAAGAACACCAGUGGCGAAGGCGGGCUCACUGGCCCGGUACUGACGCUGAGGUGCGAAAGCGUGGGAGCAAACAGG